rnacentral:lncRNA from 1 species
CUAGUCUCCCAGUGUCUGUGUUCCCAUGUCUGUUUCCCUAGUGUCUUAGUGUCCCCAAAUGUUUCAGUGUCCCCAUGUCUCCCAGUGUCUGUGUCCCUAGAGUCUCAGUGUCCCCAUUUCUCCCAGUCUCCCUAAAUGUCUCAGUGUCCCCAUGUCUCCCAGUGUCUCCAUGUCUCUGUGUCCCCGGGUCUCUCAGUGUCCCCAUGUCUCUCAGUGUCCCCAGUAUCCUAGUGACAUGGGGACACACUGAGAC